rnacentral:lncRNA from 1 species
UUCUCCAGAUAAUAUCAGACACCAUCUCACAACCAACCUCACAGAAGAAUUCCACCAACAUCUCACCUGACACUGAACUUCUAUCUUAUGGUGGAGAUAGCCCAGCUGCACAGGUGUGAUGUAAAUUUUCUCAGGGGCCAACUGGUCUGACUAUCAUCAGGAAGAAAGAAACUACUGACAAGGGCGAAUGACCAUGGGUACCAUAAUAACAGACGACGACGCUUACUCGAUACCAUUACCGGUUGCGACUGUAAGACAGACAGACAAACAUCAGGAGGAAAGAGCAGUACAUUACAGAGUGCUAGCCAAAAUGCGAAAGCCACAAUACCGUUACCGUUCCGCCGCGCAGAGAGACGACCAUAAAUAAAGCUUACACAACAUAGCCAACAAGGAGACCGUUCGGACCUGGGGCUGCCGCCGUGGCGCGUGUGCCAUGCAUCACGAUUGCCCAACAACUAGGAUUGCAGAAGCCAACAUGAUGAAAGGAUAAUGCAGCAAAGACGCACGAUGACGAGGUAGCGCAGAUUUGAUUUGGGACCUUAUGUUCUGCCGACCGUAGGGAGGCCCCUUCCUAGAUCUUGUCGAGCUUCUCCGCCUUCACCACCGGGUUGGCCUUGGCGAUGGCGUCCAUGGCCGCGGCGCGGUAGUCAAACUUGCACUCGUGCUUGUCCGAGUAACGGUGCGUCGCGCAGUACAAGUUCCCGCACCGGCAGUUGAAUCCGGUCAGCCCAACCCUCUUUCUGCAGGUGCUGCACCGGCUUGGGCCUUUGGGGUUCUCCAUCGCCGCCUCGCUGGGACCGGCGAUAUCAGCAGGCUGUGCGGUAAUAAGCGUCUUCGCCUCAACGUGAGCAACUGCCACCGCCGUGCUGCCAGCAGCAAGGUGUUCUUUCGCGGCAUCGCCACCGUUGACGAUGCUGUCGAAAGAGGAGGCAGCCAGCUUGGCCUGCUCCUGCUUCAUCGCCAUCUCCUUGUGGCACUUGGAGCACAUGUUCAUGGUCGCCGCACUGCCAAAGAAUCCGCAGUUAUUGACGCAAAGGAUGGGACCCUCCCGAGACUGGCAGCCGGUCUCCUUGUGCUCCAUGGCUUUGAUUUAACUGGAAAUCAGACACAACACGGUCAAGACAAACACUUGACAAGGGUUAUUAUAAACAGCACAGGCACAAACUGUAUUUCAGACAAUCGCUGCAGUAUUGGCAAUUUACAGAUGAACAUGGUAUAAUCUUCACAUACACGUUUUGGCCUACUGAAUCCAACUCUGGUAAGUGGUAAAGCAAGUUGCUCUGCAAAGCAUCUUAUCUUACAAAAGGAUAGUGGUGGCUGCUUGGUCAAAACACCGAGCUGAAGGUACUACCACUAAACGAUGCAGCCUGCCUGCCUUAUAAUUAGCCAACAGCGGCCUAAUCACCUACCGGCAUCAGAGCAGAGCAGGGCAGGGGAAAUUAAUUCUAAAGAAAGGCCCCGACUUUACGACGCUUUACGCAACAGCGGCAACAAAUCCGUAAAGUAGCAAACCGUAUCCGCGCACUAACUUUUGCGAAAGCGGCCGCAUCAACAACCGGGUGCCGCAGCGAACACACCGGACGGAUACGUGUAAAGGAGGCCGGCCGGCCGCCUUUACUACUACACAUCGGAGCGCCGAAUUUGGCCACGGCUCGUCGCCGUUCUACAGAAUUGGACAGCAGACCAACAAAUCGGAGCGGGCCGGCGGCUUCUAUGGCGGCCGGAGGAAUCAACGGCCACAGAUAAAAUCAGGACUUUUGACCAGGAGAAAUACAGGCACGCAGGCUACCACAGAACGUCAUAAGAAAGACAGAUGAUUGUCACCGGGAACAGAGGGUCCCCGAGCCACGAACCUGAUAGGAGGAAGCCCUCGUCGCGAUUCCUCUCCGGCGAUCCCUGCAGAGAG